GUCUGCACCCAUCCCUCUUCCCACUCAUCCCAAAAUCCUUGGGAAAAGAGGUUUUAAAUCUUAAGGGAAUUUGUGGAGCGGAAAUUCAAGGCUGGAGCUGAGCCCAUGGCUCCAUUCUCAUCCCUGAAUCCUGACAGUUUUCCUUGCUGAACCCACAGGGAAAAAAGGGAAAAGGGAGGAGGAAAGAAAGGAAAGGAACCAAAUCAAGCCCCAAAUGCCAACCCUAUCCAGAGGAAAUUCCAGGGUCCGGCACAGAGGCCUCGGAAGAGGCGGCUCCGCGGAUUUGGGAGGCUCCACUGCUCCGGGAUGCGUCCAGACUCUCCCAGUUCCUGCUGCCACCCACGGAGAGGGACAUGGAGGGGAUUCCCAGGAUGAUUGGGAAUUUUAUCCCCCCUGUUGUGUCAUUCUUGAUUUGGUGUGGGAGAUGGGGCCUCGAUAUUGGCAUAAGUUGAGUGUCCACUUCCCGAGGCCAUUCCCAUCUCCCUGGGGCUAUUCCCAUCUCCCCAAGGCCAUCCCCGUCACUGUGAAACCACCCCAGUUUCCCUGAGGCUGUUCCCAUCUCCAUGAGGCCAUCCCCAUGGCCCCGAGGCCAUUCCCGCCACUGUGACGGCAUUCCUGUUUCCAUGAGGCCAUUCCCAUUUCCCCGAGGCCAUUCCUAUUUCCAUGAGGCCAUUUCCAUCACCAUGACACCAUUCCCAUUUCCAUGGGGCCAUUCCCAUCUCCCUUAGGUUGGCCCCAUCUCCUUGAAGCCCUUCCUCUUUCCCCCAGGCCAUCCCCUUCCCUUGAGACCAUCCCUGUCUCCAUGAGGCCAUUCCUGUCUCCCUGAUGUCAUCCCCAUCUCCCUGAGGCCAUCCCCAUUUCCAUGAGGCUAUUCCCCUCUCCCUGAGGCCAUUCCCAUUUCCUUGAGGCCAUCCCCGUCACCCCGAGACCAUUCCUCUCUCCCUGAGGCCAUCCCUGUCUUCUUGAAGCAUUCCCUUCUCCCCAAGGCCAUUCCCAUCUCUACCUGAGGCCAUCCCCAUGUCUUUGAGGCCAUUCCCAUCUCCUUGAGGCCAUUCCCAUUUCCCCAGGGCCAUUCCCAUUUCCAUGAGUCCAAUCCCGUCUCUUGAGGCCAUGCCCGUUUCAUUGAGACCAUUCCCAUCUCCAUGAGGCCAUCCCCGUCUCCCCUAGGUGAUUCCUAUUUCCAUGAGGCCAUUCCCAUCUCCCCGAGGUCAUUCCCCUCUCCCCAAGGCUAUUUCCCUCUCCCUGAGGCCAUCCUCAUCACCCGAGGCCAUUCCCAUUUUCCUGAGGCCAUUUCCAUUUCCUUGAGACCGUUACCAUCUCCAUGAGGCCGUCUCCAUUUCCAUGAGGCCAUCCCCGUCACCGUGAUGCCAUCCCUGUUUCUUUGAGACCAUUCCCAUCUCCAUGAGGCCAUUCCCAUCUUCCUGAGGCCUUUCCCAUCUCCCCGAGGCCAUUCCCUCUUCCUUGAGACCAUCCCCAUCUCCCCGAGACCGUCC
rnacentral:lncRNA from 1 species